rnacentral:lncRNA from 1 species
GAUACUCGUACUUUUCUCCUUUUUCCUUUAAGUAUGAACUUCUACAUCCUAAACGCCGAAAAUGGUCUCCUUCUUUUUUUCUUUAUUUAUUUAUUUUUUCCAUUAAAAAAAAAAGAGAAGCUUUAGAGAGAGAGGCUCCUCCUCUCUAAAAAUUUUCUCAUCUUCAUCACCCUCUUUUGAGCAGCUGGUGGCUCUCCCACCGCCCUUGGGAGUGGCUCCUCAGCCACCUUUGGUGGCUCUCCCACUGCCCUAUUCAGUUGUCCCUUCUUCCAUCCCUUUCCUUUUAUCUCCCCCACCUACUCCAUUCAAAUCCUUUCUCUAUGGUCUUGGUAUUGUCCCUUCCCACUGAAAUUUUAUUAUUCUUAUUGAUUUGGCUUCAUCUUGUGGCUGCUUCGACUAGCUAGAAACGCGUUUUCUCGCUUACAACUUUGAAGAUGCCUAGAGUUCGAGCUUUUGCUCUUGCUCAGAUGCCUGCACCACCUCCUUAUACUAUGUUGGUAUUUGUUUGGUUUUUAUAUUUGUUUUGGUGCUUUGUCAGUUUUGAUUUGGGAGGUGAUGAUCUUCAUGUGGGGCUUUUUUUUUUUUUUUGGGGUUUUUUUUUUUCUUGUAUAUGUUUAUGUAAUAUGUCAGAUUUUAAGGUAUUUUGGUGGAUUUGUGGUUUAUGAAGAAGCAGGGGCAGCGGUAGCUGCUGAAUCUUCUACUGGUACAUGGACAACUGUAUGGAGUUAGGCAUUUUGGAUUCCCCUAUUGAAAUUGCCCUUAUGGCUAUAUUUUCUACUACUCUGCUCUUGAAUUCUCAAAACUUCUGCGUUUUUUCGUUUUGUGCCCAUUAGGUGUGGCAGCUCAUCCCCUCAACUUGUCGCGGUGAUGUCGUCUCAGGCGGUGGUAGCGGCGGCUCGGCUGAGUUUUGUUUUGGGUUUGUUUGCUAUCUUAGCCUUGGUUUGGGCUUAUUGCCUUUUGGGCUUUAAGCUUGUUGCUGAUUCUUUUGCAUUUGAUUUGAGCCUCUGACCUUUUUGCUUUGUUGUUGAGCUCAAUUAGUUGGGUCUGACUUUUAUAUUGUAUUGUUGUGCCCUUUUGUGGAUUUCUAAUGAAAUCUACUUCCGACCGAAAAAAGAAG